rfam:Marinobacter santoriniensis NKSG1 contig00058, whole genome shotgun sequence.
GCCUUAUGCCUGAAAGGGCGACGUGGCAACACGGAGCGAGAAGUCAGCAGAGGUCAUAGUAGCCGCUAGCUCAGGGCGAAGGGC